AGAGUGAACGCUGGCGGUAGGCCUAACACAUGCAAGUCGAACGGCAGCACAGGAGAGCUUGCUCUCUGGGUGGCGAGUGGCGGACGGGUGAGGAAUACAUCGGAAUCUACCUUUUCGUGGGGGAUAACGUAGGGAAACUUACGCUAAUACCGCAUAAGACCUUCGGGUGAAAGCCGGGGACCUUCGGGCCUGGCGCGGAUAGAUGAGCCGAUGUCGGAUUAGCUUGUUGGCGGGGUAAAGGCUCACCAAGGCGACGAUCCGUAACUGGUCUGAGAGGAUGAUCAGUCACACUGGAACUGAGACACGGUCCAGACUCCUACGGGAGGCAGCAGGUGGGAAUAUUGGACAAGUGGGACGAAAGCCUGAUCCAGCCAUGCCGCGUGUGUGAAGAGGUCUGGAUUGUAAGCUACGUUAAGUGGAGAGGCAGUUACUAAUACGUAUC
rnacentral:rRNA from 1 species